rnacentral:rRNA from 1 species
UACGUAGGGGGCAAGCGUUGUCCGGAAUCAUUGGGCGUAAAGAGCGUGUAGGCGGCCUGGUAAGUCCGCUGUGAAAGUCCAGGGCUCAACCCUGGAAUGCCGGUGGAAACUGUCAGGCUCGAGUCCGGAAGAGGCGAGUGGAAUUCCUGGUGUAGCGGUGAAAGUGCGCAGAUAUCAGGAGGAACACCAAUGGCGAAGGCAGCUCGCUGGGACGGUAGCUGACGCUGAGACGCGAAAGCGUGGGGAGCAAACAGG